rnacentral:lncRNA from 1 species
CUCAGUGACGCGGGGCACAGCUCUGCCCGGGGGCCUACCAGAGCCCACCUGGACCCCACACUGGGUCAGCCCUGGUGCGGAGGAGGCCGCUGUAGGCGCGGCCAGGUCACAGUCGGCACCAGAAGUUUGGCAGAUCUCAGUGAGGCGUUAGUUUGCAUUUCCUUGUGACGGGGUUGUAGAAGAAGGUUAACAAGGUACCACAAACCGGAUGGCUCAAAACAGCGGAUACUGUCUCACGGUUCUGGAGACCUGAAGUCUGAAACAAAGUGGUGAUGGGGUCGGUUCCCUCCG